rnacentral:rRNA from 1 species
GGAAUAUUGGACAAUGGGGGGAACCCUGAUCCAGCCAUGCCGCGUGUGUGAAGAAGGCCUUUUGGUUGUAAAGCACUUUAAGCGAGGAGGAGGCUACUUUGGUUAAUACCCAGAGAUAGUGGACGUUACUCGCAGAAUAAGCACCGGCUAACUCUGUGCCAGCAGCCGCGGUAAUACAGAGGGUGCGAGCGUUAAUCGGAUUUACUGGGCGUAAAGCGUACGUAGGUGGUCUUUUAAGUCGGAUGUGAAAUCCCUGAGCUUAACUUAGGAAUUGCAUUCGAUACUGGGAGACUAGAGUAUGGGAGAGGAUGGUAGAAUUCCAGGUGUAGCGGUGAAAUGCGUAGAGAUCUGGAGGAAUACCGAUGGCGAAGGCAGCCAUCUGGCCUAAUACUGACACUGAGGUACGAAAGCAUGGGGAGCAAACAGGAUUAGAUACCCCUG